GAUGAACGCUGGCGGCGUGCUUAACACAUGCAAGUCGAACGAACCUUCGGGUUAGUGGCGGACGGGUGAGUAACGCGUGAGAAUCUGCCCUCAGGAGGGGGAUAACGGCUGGAAACGGCCGCUAAUACCCCCAUAUGCCGCGAGGUGAAAUGAAUUUCGCCUGAGGAUGAGCUCGCGUCUGAUUAGCUAGUUGGUGGGGUAANAGCCUACCAAGGCAUCGAUCAGUAGCUGGUCUGAGAGGAUGAUCAGCCACACUGGGACUGAGACACGGCCCAGACUCCUACGGGAGGCAGCAGUGGGGAAUAUUGGACAAUGGGCGAAAGCCUGAUCCAGCAAUGCCGCGUGAGUGAUGAAGGCCUUAGGGUUGUAAAGCUCUUUUAACCCGAGAAUGAUAAUGACAGUAUCGGGAGAAUAAGCUCCGGCUAACUCCGUGCCAGCAGCCGCGGUAAAGUCGUACGAU
rnacentral:rRNA from 1 species